AGCAGUGUUAGUGUAGUUGGAACGUCGCAUGAUUGCCUGGUCUCACAAGUAAGAAAAUCUGCCGUUUCAAAUAUGAAUUCAAUAGAUUUUACUUUCCUCUGUAAAAAGAAGGGGAAAAAAUUAUCGUCAAAGUGACAAAAUUCACAAAAUCAAGUGAAGAUAGGCCUAUAUCAUUUGCCUCAAAUAGCAAACGCUACACGUGGUCAAAGAAUAACUUUACGAAGUAGCUGCCUCUUUGUCCUAACAGGGAAAAAGUUCAAACUACUUUUAGGCCUAUUUGUGUGGAUUUAAUUAAGUAUGAUUAAAGCGAUUCCGAAUAUCUUUGAUCCACCAUACAGUUUUUAAGUUAUAUUGAGUACCGGAAGUUACCUAUGGACCAGAGAAAGUUCGAACGUUUGGAGAGGUAGAUCCUGAUCGUAGGUGGAGAUAGAGAGGGUAGGCUUAGCACAAGAUGGAUAGGUGAUAUUUGGGAACACGUUGCGAUUUUAUUAUUGUACCUUAUAGAGCAGAAAAUGACUGUCACUCCGCCUAUUGGUAUCCGUCUUCUUCCAUCACUUAGUGGACCAAACAGCGUCCGUACCUUUAGAUACAAGGUCUUCAUCCUCAUCUUCACGUUCCUGUGUUACACCAGCUAUCACCUAUCCAGGAAGCCAAUUAGUGUUGUCAAGAGUGUCCUCAACAGGAAUUGCUCCAUCUCUGUCUCUGACCCCGAUGUACUGGUCAACAACACUCACGGAAACGACACCAAGUGGUGUGACUGGAAACCAUUUGAUGGGAGCAAUGCGGGGUCCCUUCUUGGCAGUCUGGACUUGGCCUAUUUAUUUUCCUAUGCGGUGGGAAUGUUCCUCAGUGGUCACAUUGCAGAGCGGAUGAAUCUGCGAUACUUUCUGUCGCUAGGCAUGAUCAGCAGUGGUGUCAUGACAGCAGCUUUUGGAAUGGGGUACUUUUGGGAUAUCCAUUCAAUCGUAUUCUUCAUAGGAGUCCAGAUCAUUGGAGGACUUGUGCAGAGCACAGGCUGGCCCUCAGUAGUGACAUGUAUGGGAAACUGGUAUGGGAAAGGAAAACGUGGCUUUAUCAUGGGGAUCUGGAAUUCACAUACCUCAGUUGGAAACAUCCUCGGGUCUCUGAUUGCAGGGAUCUUUGUGAACAAUGCCUGGGGCUGGUCAUUCAUUGUGCCAGGAAUCAUCAUCACUGUAUUGGGCAUUCUAGUCUUCUUCUUCAUGGUGCCAAGUCCAGAUGAAGUGAAUUGUGAUUUGCCAGACCAGACAACAAAUACAAGGAUUCAGUACUCCGAGGAUGUCAAUGAGAGAUCAGAUUUGAAUACAGAGAAUUAUAUGGAAGAUGAUCCCUUGCUAGAGUCUCUUAAAAGUGUCCAGCGAAUCAGUGAAUACGGAACAUCAAACGGCCAAUCACAGACCUCCCUCGUGUCAAUGGACAAGUCCAAAGAAAAACCUAUAUCACUGUUAGCAGCAAUUUUUAUUCCAGGUGUGAUAGAGUUUUCAUUGUGCCUUUUCUUUGCCAAACUUGUUAGUUACACAUUCCUGUUCUGGUUGCCAAAGUAUAUUCAUGUGAAAGCCAAUUAUGAUCCUGAGAGGGCUGCCGAUAUUUCCACGCUGUUUGAUGUGGGAGGAAUUUUUGGUGGCAUCGUAGCGGGACUGUUUUCAGACUUCAGCGGUAUGAGGGCCACCACAUGCGUCAUCAUGCUGGUUAUAUCAGCACCUAUACUUUACAUUUAUAACUUGUAUGGCAGUCUGAGUAUCGGACAUAGCAUAGGCUUGUCAAUGUUGUGUGGGUUCUUUGUCAAUGGUCCCUAUGCUUUGAUUACCACUGCUGUCAGUGCAGACUUAGGAACACACAAAAUCCUGAGAGGAAAUGCAAAAGCCUUAUCAACAGUCACUGCCAUCAUCGAUGGAACAGGAAGUAUUGGAGCUGCCGUGGGCCCCCUGCUGGCUGGAGUGAUUGAGUCUUCAGGCUGGAACAAUGUCUUCUACAUGCUGAUCGCCUCUGAUGUGAUGGCUUUAUUGGUAAGCUUGUAUAUUUCGUACCAGCGGGAACAGGAUAAAGUACAGGAAAAUCUAGAGGUCCUCCAAAAGUACAUAUCACAUGAUCUCAGUAACUCCUUCAGAUUGUUUGUUAGAUUCAUUAGAAACCUGGACUGGUUUUCAAGUGUCUCCUAUGGAUUUGUGUUCUUUAUGACUUUCAUAUUGUAUUUGAAUUUUGUGUAUAAUUCUUGACAACAUAACAAAUAGGGAAUUGGAAGUUAUUUAUUCUGUUUAUUUUAAUGUAAGUUAAUGCAUGUAAGAUAUAUGAUCUGAUCUGUGUGUUAUCAAUGACACGAGGGAACUUUAAUGUAUUUAUUUUAUUUAUUUAAUGAUAAUACUUGUUAUCUUUAUUGCUGCUGUGAAUCUCAUUUACACAUUUUUUUUUAUCACAGGCACAUGUGGUCUUGAUCCUGUAUAUCCCUCCCUCUCUCCAAAAUAUGAAAAUCUGUGUAUUCGUUUCUAUGUCAGUGUUGUUUCACAAUAACUAUUGGUACAUUAAUCACAACCGAAGUGUUUCUCCAUGACCAAGUGAUAAAUGACACAUUUCAUUGGUUUCAUUGGUGUAAUGUUUUGGUUGUGGUCAAUUAGAGUGUUGAGAGACACAAUGGUCAUAACAAUAAGUGUGUGAAACAACACAAAUAAAAAAAAAGAAGAAUUGAACUUUGGCAAAAUAUAUAUAAAAUGUCUUACUGUUAUGCCCUCUGGGCCCAAAAUUGGAAUAAACUUAUCUUAUCUAUAAAGGACUGAAUUCAUGAACUGUGUAAGAUGGCCCUAAUUCUGCUAGUACUUUAAACUACACGUUAUUUCAGCAAGAAAUAUUAAAUUCUCAAUGUUUGGCAUCAAUUACAUAAAUUUUCUGCCAUUUCUUUAGAUGAGCCAAAAGUCAGUAUUUUUCAAGGCUUUUUCUCUUCAGGAAUUGUGGGAGCCAAGUGGGAAUCAUGUAUUCAAAUGACUGUAAAUUUUAAUGUCACAAAUGUAUGUCUGAAAACAGCUUUUGUUCAUGCAUGGUGCCCAUAAAAUCUAGGCAAAAAAGUGUCCAUGCCUAAAAAAAAGAAUGAUACUUUAGACCAAUUUUCGUGGAGAUUGUGAAUAAUUACAAACUUUGUUAAAUCAUAUUCCACAAUAGAAAUCAGUAUUGAGGACAGGAAAUUUAUUUUGUGACUCUUUCAACAUGGAUAAUAUUGACUUUUCCAUUGAGGUAUGCAACAAGUUGGGUCUUUCAUGGGAGGAGGUGGGAGUUAUACAAUAGCCAGGUCUCCUCUGUGAUUUGUACUGCAUAAUUUUAAAUGUUUUACCAUUCCGUCAUGAGCUGUGAUGUAAAAUGUGCUGUUUUCUGCAUUUUUUAAGAUAUGGAAUUCACUAGUACAGUAUAAUGGGCAAAUAUGUUGAUAUUGGUGUUAUGAGAAAAUUUUAUGCCUGUUUUAUUUUUGCCCAAAUCCUUUGUGGGUAAAUUUAAAACUGGGCUGAUUUAACAAGAGUUGUUUACCUCUAAAAUUGCAAUGAGACAAAUUCAUUGAUUGGUUCACUAGGACAGAAAUUUCCUGGGUAAAAUAUUGCGUAGUAUAUACUGUAAAAACAGGUCUUCAUUUGUCACUUGAUUUUCCAUGAUGAAUAGCGCUAUUAAUUCUGUACAAUCACUUGUGUUUUUUUCUCCAUCUUUUUCAUAAAAAAAACUGCAUUAAGAGCUAGCUGGACACCUUUCACAGAUUUCAGUUCUUGCUUCGCCUAUUUUACAAAGAGAUGGUCGCCUCAUUUCGCAGAAGUCCUGAUGUAAGUUAACCCCUCCAACUCGGGACUUGCUUGAUCUCAUUCUGGGAAUUUCCCUUUUCCUGUGAUACAAAGACGUUUUAAAGCAAAAUGAAUAACAGUAUUUCUUGUGUAAAUUUUAAGGUGGUAGAAAGUUGUUGUGAACACAUUUAUUUGGUUAUUUUAACCACAGAAAAAUCUAGCUUUACAUUUGACUUACUCAUCUUUAUAUAGAAAUUUUUAAUUUGAGUGCAGGGCAUACAAACAUGUACUUACAGUGUAUAACCAUACUUAUAUUCACUCAUUCUUUCUGUAUGUAAAACUAUAUAUAUGCAAUUUUACUUGACCUUGAACAGUUUUAUGCAAAUUUUAUCCUGCAUAGUUUAGGUUUUAUAUAUACAUGUAUGUAUCCAUUUUAAAUUGUUGGAGUUUAUGUCAUUCCAUUCUUGUUAAAUUCCAUGACAUUUCAGUAAUACAUUUUACCUUUAUCAGUAGACAAUUUUAGUUAUUUUAGUUUUAUUAUGUAUUAUUAUGAUCUAGGUUUGUCACAAUUAAUUCUAACCUCCAACUGUAUCCUAAGGCAGUGGUUUAUGGUGGGGGGUGGAUUUAGGCCAAGUUUGUCAGAAUUAAUAGCAGUGUUUAUAGUCAUGGUCUGGUUAUUUAGAGAGAAUUAUGUCCACAGCUUCAUGUGGAGACGAAAAUUGCAAGGUACACAAAAUGCAUUUUCUUUAUCUAGGUUGAGUCUGUGUCAUUAAAUCUAAAGUUAGACAUGUUUUUAUGUGUUUAGUCACUUAAAAUAUUUUUAUUUUGCCUGUUCUUUGUUAGUUACAUAUUAGAAUUUUAACACCUGGCAGGGAUUUUUUUUUUUUUUUAGAAAUUUAGUUUCUGUUUAUUUCAUUUUAAUUAAAUUUAUCCUUGCACUUGCAGAAUUAAAAUAAGAUUUCCUUGCAGGUGAACCUUUGGAUUACUUUCAAUAUGAAUUGUAUUCAGCAUGGCAUAUGUAUCUGUUUUCAAAGAAUGUUUUCGGUAUUCAAAAGAAUUGUUUAUAAAAUAAAUAUGGCAAUGUU